AAGAGAGUGAAAAACGAGAGGCUGCCGAAGCUGAAGGACAGGACGUUGAGCCUGUUCCUGAAGAGCAGCUGUCUGUAGAGGAGCGGG
rnacentral:ribozyme from 1 species